rnacentral:misc_RNA from 1 species
CAACCCUCAAGCACUGCUUGGUGUUGGGGCACUGCUCCUCUCGCGGGGAGCAGGCCCUGAAAUUCAGUGGCGAGCUCGCCAGGACCCCGAGCGCAGUAGUUAAACCCUCGCUCUGGAAGGCCCUGGCGGUGCCCUGCCGUUAAACCCCCAACUCUUGAAAAU